AUUGAACGCUGGCGGCGUGCCUAACACAUGCAAGUCGAGCGGUAACAGGUGUAGCAAUACAUGCUGACGAGCGGCGAACGGGUGAGUAAUGCUUCGGAAUCUACCUUAUGGUGGGGAAUAACUAGCCGAAAGGUUAGCUAAUACCGCAUACGUCCUACGGGAAAAAGCAGGGGAUCGCAAGACCUUGCGCCAAAAGAUGAGCCGAAGUCGGAUUAGCUAGUUGGUAGGGUAACGGCCUACCAAGGCGACCAUCCGUAGCUGGUCUGAGAGGACGACCAGCCACACUGGGACUGAGACACGGCCCAGACUCCUACGGGAGGCAGCAGUGGGGAAUAUUGGACAAUGGGGGAAACCCUGAUCCAGCGACGCCGCGUGUGUGAAGAAGGCCUGCGGGUUGUAAAGCACUUUUAGUGGGGAUGAAAUGUGCAGGGUUACUACCUCUGCAUUUUGACCUAACCCACAGAAAAAGCACCGGCUAACUCUGUGCCAGCCGCCGCCGUAA
rnacentral:rRNA from 1 species